rnacentral:rRNA from 1 species
ACAUGCCUACAACAUAAUGUUAAUGCACCAGAUCCCAUUAGAACUUUGCAGUUAAGCAUGCUCGGGCUAGAGUAGUACUGGGUGGGUGAUCGCCUGAGAAGUCCUAGUGUUUUACAUGCC